GGGUAGGUUCCCGAGCGGCCAAAGGGAGCAGACUGUAAAUCUGCCGUCACUGACUUCGGUGGUCCGAAUCCACCCCUGCCCACCA
rnacentral:tRNA from 1 species